GGACUCAUGUCCUCCUCCUGGACUCAUGUCCUCCUGGACUCAUGUCCUCCUGGACUCGUACCCUCCUGGACUCAUGUCCUCCUCCUGGACUCGUACCCUCCUGGACUCAUGUCCUCCUCCUGGACUCGUUUUGUCUUUCAGAUAAAUCCUCCCAGAAUGUGCCUUCAACUUGGUUUAGUUUGUUUGUUUAUAUUUAAUUUGUUGUGUUUUUUGUUGAAGCCUUGAGCUAAGUGAGAGGUGAUCUCAGGGAAGGACGAGGUGUGUGUGUGUGUGUGUGUGUGUGUGUGUGUGUGUGUGUGUGUGUGUGUGUGUGUGUGUGUGUGUGUGUGUGUGUGUGUGUGUGUGUGUGUGUGUGUGUGUGUGUGUGUGUGUGUGUGUGUGUGUGUGUGUGUGUGUGUGUGUGUGUGUGUGUGUGUGUGUGUGUGUGUGUGUGUGUGUGUGUGUGUGUGUGUGUGUGUGUGUGUGUGUGUGUGUGGGGUACAGUGUUGUCCUUUGUGUAAAGUUUUUAUCACCGUCGUCAUGUUGAUGUUAAAAUUGUAAAUGUGUGAGCAGAAGUAGUGGGAGGCUUUAAAAGUCCAUUUUGCACUCGGGACACUGGAUCAGGACAUGUGUUAGCGGGACGUGUGUUAGCAGGACGUGUGUUAGUGGGACGUGUGUUAGCAGGACGUGUGUUAGCGGGACGUGUGUUAGCGGGACAGGAGGUGUGUUAGCGGGACGUGUGUUAGCGGGACAGGAGGUGUGUUAGCGGGACGUGUGUUAGCGGGACAGGAGGUGUGUUAGCGGGACGUGUGUUAGCGGGACAGGAGGUGUGUUAGCGGGACGUGUGUUGACAGGAGGGGUGUUAGCGGGACGUGUGUUAGCGGGACGUGUGUUAGCGGGAUAGGAGGUGUGUUAGCGGGACAGGAGGUGUGUUAGCGGGACGUGUGUUGACAGGACGUGUGUUAGCGGGACGUGUGUUAGCAGGACAGGAGGUGUGUUAGCGGGACGUGUGUUGACAGGACGUGUGUUAGCGGGACGUGUGUUAGCGGGACGUGUGUUGACAGGACGUGUGUUAGCGGGACGUGUGCGUGGUCUCCAUCUGAGUGGAGCUUCUAUGAAGACUGUAUGAUGGACAUGUGGCCACCAGGAGGCGCUGUUUAGAGAAGAUCUUGUGUACGUGUUGACAGCACGGCUUCGUUCGUCCGUCACACGAUUAUUAGAGAGGUAAACGUCUGAGGGUUAGGGGUCAUGAUGGGUUAGGGGUCAUGAUGGGUUAGGGGUCAUGAUGGGUUAGGGGUCAUGAUGGGAGAUGACGGCUCGAGAGCCUGACCCACUUUAUUAACGACCAUAAGAAACGCUAAUGCACGUGUCGGAGCGUCUUUCUGCUAAACGAGACGGAGGUUAUUGUAAAGCGUUUGAGUCGUUACAGCGGGAGGCGAUGGUUUCAUGAUUCCACCUUCUGUUCUACUAAAGUGAAGCCAAAACGCCCCGUGACGGACGCCGACGUCUGCGCUGACUAAAACACAAACCCUCCUGUUCAAAGGAGCUGCUCUGCCGUUGUCUCGUCUUUCUGCCAUCAUAUUGUUUCUGUGAUGGCGUUAUAACGGCGUCCCAGUCUGUGACUUCACGUUACGUUCUGGCGUUGUAGAAGCGCUGUUCUCCCCCGCUGGCUCAGCUAAUCCCGCCUCUCCUCUGUAACGCCUCUGAAGACAGUUCAGAGGGGGGGUCACUUUGCCCCGCCUCCACGACAUUCAGAUUGAAGGCGAGACGUCCCAUUGGCCUAAAUAUCACGGCUUGAAACGUCAAAUAACCGGUGAAGAACAACUUUUCAGAAUGAAGGGACUUGACCACAAAACAAAGUUUGAGCCGCGUCCCGUCUGUCAGCGUGGAGGAGGCGGGGUUUAUGAUCUGAUGAUGAGUUCUGCAGCCAGCCAGCAGGGGGAGGAGCUCUAACUCUUUUGGCUUCACUCUUUGAAGGAGGUGUCGUCCGUCGUCUCGCACAGUUUAUGGUCUGAAUAUCUGACAUGUUAUUGUUGUCUGUACGCUGUUUCCAUGGCAACCUUUGUUUUUAUCCUAAGGAAUAUAAAGAUUUGAAUAAUAAACAGAAUCUGGAGAAAUGUAUUUAUAUUUAAGUGCGUUUAUGAUCAGUUUUGGUAAAUAUUACACACGUGAUGAAAGUUGCUGCUAUUAGCAUCGUUAAAUUAACGAAUGAUUGAUUUAUAUUAAACUCCGGCUCGAUGCCAAAUCACGUUAUUAUCAUUAUUAUCAUUAUUAUCAUUAUUAUCAUUAUUAUUAUUUGUUUUUUCAUGUCGGAGGAGAGAGACGACACCAGCGGGGUUCGAACCCGGGCCGCCCGCUCUCGGGGACUUUAGUCUGAAUUAUUAAGAGUCGUUAUUAUCAUCUCUGUAUUUAUUGUCUGGUCUUAAAGCCAGCAGCCUGGAGGCCUCUGAUUGGUCGGUUGGUUCCUGCAGGUGGCUGUCUGGCUUUUGAUUGGUUGGCAGGUUGUGGAGCGACUCGUAGGUUGGAUUUGUUGUUCUGGUCGAUGUCGUGGUUCAUAACGGUUACGUGGUAAUGAAGUUAUGUUAUCGUGUAUAUAGUGUGUGUGUGUGUGUGUGUGUGUGUGUGUGUGUGUGUGUGUGUGUGUGUGUGUGUGUGUGUGUGUGUGUGUGUUGGCUGGCCUUACAUCCAGUUGUGUCCUUGAGUUCUUGUUAAGACGGGAAAUGACCACCAGCUGCCACUUUAUCAAACUCUAAACCCACGGUUCUCAACUGGUGGGGCGGCACCAGGAAUGGGUCGCGUGGUGGUUCUUAGUGGGUCGCAGUAACGAGUCCUAAAACUGGGACAUGAAUCAGCAUUUAGCACUUCCUGUCCUGUCGUCUGGAAGGCGUGGGUUAGAUACCCGUCUGUGGGAAACGCAGGCAUGAGAGAUUUUAACACGUUUUUCUGCCAGACUAAAAACAUCUGGACGCGCCCCACGUGUGAAUUUUGAAGCUUUUGCACAUCUUACAAAAAGAAGUUGUUAACGACUAGGACUCCGGAGUUUGCAGUUUUUCAGAGAUUAUAAAAUUCAUGUUUGUGAAGAAAAUCUGGAUGAACAAAACAAGAAGUUCUGUCCUGAAACCCGU